UACGUAGGUGGCAAGCGUUGUCCGGAUUUACUGGGCGUAAAGAGCGCGCAGGCGGUCGUCCAAGUCGCGUGUGAAAGCCCCCGGCUCAACUGGGGAGGGUCACGCGAUACUGGUCGACUCGAAGGCAGGAGAGGGUAGUGGAAUUCCCGGUGUAGUGGUGAAAUGCGUAGAUAUCAGGAGGAAUACCUAUGGCGAAAGCAGGUAUCUGGGCCAUCACUGACGCUGAGCUGCGAAAGCUAGGGGAGCAAACAGG
rnacentral:rRNA from 1 species